rnacentral:lncRNA from 1 species
UUUUUUUUUUUUUUUCUUUCCUCUUUCUCUUUUGAAGUCAAACUGAAAAGUGGUUGAGAAACCAAAAUAAGCUGCCCCCUGGAGGGACACGGAACUUAAAUACAACAGCCUCUCCAUAGCACAGAGGGAAUGGAUUUGGCCUCAUAAGAGAAUGUGAAUGUGAUCAAUGCAGACAACCAAGCAGAAUAAUUUGUGCCCUGGGUGGACUCUGUUGAUGUACCCCCAUGUAAUGGGAUAUGGUCUUCGAAUUAGCCAGGUAAUUGCCAGUGCUACCCUUGACCUUGCCUUGUGCGCCCAGUGAACAUAGGCCCCAGUUCAGGACAAGGUACUGAAAACACAUUCAUAGAAGGCUCAUUGAUGGGCCAACAUCAGUUACAAACCGUAUUUCCAAGCUGAUGCUUUUCAAAAAGCCUAGAAACUGGAGCCUAUAUUGCUUCUGUUGCCCUUUCCUGAAAGACCCCCACAUCCUUAGCCUUUCUCUGAGCAAUUACUUUGUGAAAGUAUCUGUGAAAGUCCAGGUGAGAAGCCAGGAUAGGGACAAUGUCUUUUUUUUGCCCCCAUUCAUCUCCUCCCAAGCCACUAGGUAAAGCAAAGCACAGAAAGCUUCCAUUCAAGACAGGGACCAAGUGGUAUUUGAGAGCCUCUUUCACUCACCCCUCCACGUCAGAAAUAAGAGAUGGUAGAUUUUAAAUAUUUUGUUUGUUUUGUUGUUUAAAGUUAGAAUAAAAUUUCAAUAGAUCAAAUCAGAAGUGUUUAUAAAACCUCUACUGUGUCAAGGAACCUAGAAUCUAGGUGGUCAACCAAAUCUAGGAGCAUCAUGACAGAUUCAGAGGAUCAAGGGUCGCAGUGUACACUCAUGAGCCGUGCAGCAAGAUGAAUGGUGGCCCCCCAAAAACAUGCCCACUUCCAAACUCUGGGAACAGGUGAAUAUGAUCUUAUUUGGAAAAAGGAGGUAAUUAAGUUAAGGAUCUUAAAAUAAAAUAACUCUGGAUUAUCCAGGUGAAGGAUCUCAAAAUAAAAUAACCCUGGAUUAUCCAGGUGAACCCUAAAUCUAACAACAAAUGUCCUUUAUAAGAGACACACAGAGGAGAGAAGGAGGCCACGUGUCCAUGGAGGCAGAGAUGAGUGUGAUGCAGCCUUGAGCCCAGGAAUGCUGACAGCCACCUGCCGCUGGGAUGGACAAGCAAAGAAUUCUCCCCACAAAGCUUCUGGGGGCCUGGCUGUGCUGCUAUCUUGAUUUUGGACUUCUGCCCUCCAGAACGGUGAGAAAACAUAUCUCUGUUAUUUUAAGCCACCCAGUUUGUGGUAAGUUGUUAUACAGGCCACAGGAAACUAACAUAAGCCCUUGACCACAUCUCUCACCCGUGGCCUCAGCUUCACAACCUCCAAGCACGGAAAAUAUGAGGCCUUCCAAUGCAGCCCAUGCUGCACCGGCAGCCUACUUCUGACCCUAGAAUAGAUUUUUUUUCUCUGAUGCAAUGCUUCAUAUAUGUGUAGACCACAAUAAUUGGGCUUCCACAGAGCUUUUUCUGGCUAGAGAGGCCUUCAGACAUGCCUUGGGGGAGGUGGGCUCCCCCACACUAGACACUGCUUGCUGAACUUCCUCCUGCCAAGAUAGCACAGAGGGAAAUACCAUCUCCCUUGUACUGGACACUCUCCUUCUAACACAGCCCUAGGUCUCAUUAAUGUUUAAGCAGCCAAGUUACACUAUCAACUCCUUUGGAGCUUUCAGCUAAGAACAAAACAAAACAAACAUAACUUUCUCACAUGUAUUUCAAGGACAUAUUGUCACCCCCCACCAAUUAUAUAAAAAGAUAUUUUUAAUUUAAAUAUAAUCAUUCAGCUAUGAAACAUACAUAUGAAAUACAUGUUGUUAUUUAGGGGAGGGGGGAAGAGGAAGAAAUUCUGAGCAGUCAUUUACUCUCCAUUUUGACAGCCAAGCGAAAUUUGUACAAAUCAGAUUAUUCCCAAAGAAUGAAAACACACAGGUUUGGAAAAAAAAUCUAACAUACCAGAUCAGACUGGAUGUAUGGUGAAAAUGUUCCUGGGUUCAAAUCUCAGCCCCACAACUUAUUAGUGACCUUGGGUAGGUCAUUCAACCUCUUAAUGUUUUAGUUCCCUCACCUGUGAAAUACGGCUCACCAUAGUGCUCACUCCGCCUGCUGGAUCCUCUCUGCUUUCCUCUCCAGAUCCAGAUUCCUCCCUUCUCCACUCCACUCUCAGCCCUGGGAGGCUGAUUUCCAGGUAAGACUAGUCCUUACAUCUAACAGGUUUUCUUGCCCUCUGGCUUCUGAUUAGGUUGGUCAAUCAGGUGCACCAGCAGAACUCAGAGACGGGAGAAAAGAGUAGUUGGGGACUCCCUCACCUGGAUGCCUCCAUGACAGGCCAAAGUUUGGCAUUAACUGUAUUCCUCUACUAAAGACCAAUUCCACAUACUGCUCUCACAUCACUCUUUCGGGGCUGGGAUAGUGAAGGCUUACAUGCCUUGCGGGCCACUCUUGGCGGCUUCCCUUAACUCUGCCCACAUCUUUGUAAAGAGUCCCCUCACUAAACUUUCUCCAGUUAUGCCCUGUGAGUGUGUCAUCUGCCUCCCUAUGAACUCUGGCUGAUAAACCCUCUGAAGGACUUAUCAGAAUCAAAUUAAUGUUUAGAACACUGCCGUGUUCACAGAAAGUGUGCAUCAAGGCAUUUGCAAUCAUUACUGUCAUUGUUACCAAUAGCGGUCAACUUAUCUGUGCCAUCCCUGGUCAUGAGUUAGCUUGGUGACACACUUACUUUUCCUCCCCAAGUCCAAUACUUUUUUGUGGGGCAAUAAAUAUAAUAUCCUCAGUUGUAUACAUGUGGAGAAAACUAUUAGGAUCUCUCUCAUCUGAAUAAUUAAAAUCACCCCCUAACUUCCCUACUGCCCUUCCUCUCUUCACUCUCUCUCUAAUGUAGGGAAGUGAUCAUGCCAGUGUCACAAGGCAACAAAUACUCAACAGCUCCUCCAAAUGAAAUUCAGACUCUACUUACUAGAGUCCUCACAAUUUGAUCCCAAUCUACUUUGAAGACUAUGUUAAACAUUUCACACUCCCUAGAAUGGCUAUUAUAUUAAAAAA